rnacentral:rRNA from 2 species
UGAAAUCUGGCCCUCGGGUCCGAGUUGUAAUUUGUAGAGGAUGCUUUUGGUGAGGUACCUUCCGAGUUCCCUGGAACGGGACGCCAUAGAGGGUGAGAGCCCCGUCUGGUCGGAUACCAAUCCUCUGUAAAGCUCCUUCGACGAGUCGAGUAGUUUGGGAAUGCUGCUCUAAAUGGGAGGUAUAUGUCUUCUAAAGCUAAAUAUUGGCCAGAGACCGAUAGCGCACAAGUAGAGUGAUCGAAAGAUGAAAAGCACUUUGAAAAGAGGGUUAAACAGUACGUGAAAUUGUUGAAAGGGAAGCGCUUGUGACCAGACUUGGGCCCGGUUAAUCAUCCAGCGUUCUCGCUGGUGCACUUGGCCGGCCCAGGCCAGCAUCAGUUCGGUGUGGGGGAUAAAGGCGGCGGGAAUGUGGCUCCUCCGGGAGUGUU